UAUAUACUUCCUCCGUCCGGAAAUACUUGUCAUCAAAAUGAACAAAAGGGGAUGUAUCUAGACGUAUUUUAGUUUUACAUACAUCCCUUUUUAUCCAUUUUGAUGACAAGUAUUUUCGGAUGGAGGGAGUACUUU
rnacentral:pre_miRNA from 1 species